UACGUAGGGUGCGAGCGUUGUCCGGAAUUAUUGGGCGUAAAGAGCUUGUAGGCGGUCUGUCGCGUCUGCUGUGAAAAUCCGGGGCUCAACCCCGGACUUGCAGUGGGUACGGGCAGACUAGAGUGUGGUAGGGGAGACUGGAAUUCCUGGUGUAGCGGUGAAAUGCGCAGAUAUCAGGAGGAACACCGAUGGCGAAGGCAGGUCCCUGGGCCACCACUGACGCUGAGAAGCGAAAGCAUGGGGAGCGAACAGG
rnacentral:rRNA from 1 species